rnacentral:rRNA from 1 species
GACGAACGCUGGCGGCGUGCAUAACACAUGCAAGUCAAGGGGGUCAGUAGCAAUACUGGCAACCGGCGAACGGGUGCGUAACACGUAAGCGACCUACCUCGAUGUGGGGCAUAGCCGGCCUAACGGCCGGGUAAUUCCGCAUGUGAUUCUGGAGAGGCAUCUCCCCGGAAUGAAACCAGUAAUGGGCAUUGAGAGGGGCUUGCGGCCUAUCAGCUUGUUGGUGAGGUAACGGCUCACCAAGGCUACGACGGGUAGCUGGUCUGAGAGGAUGGCCAGCCACAUUGGGACUGAGAAACGGCCCAGACUCCUACGGGAGGCAGCAGUGGGGAAUAUUGCACAAUGGGCGCAAGCCUGAUGCAGCAACGCCGCGUGGGGGAUGAAGGCCUCGGUUGUAC